GGCUGAUUUAGGGUUUGUGCACAGGAAAUUAGUGAUUUAAAAUCAGAAGGGGGCUCAACAGUAGAGAUCGAGGGAAAGGAUGAGGCCGAGUUUGGCCGGAGUCGGAGCGGCCACAAUCGCCGCGUUGUUAACAGCCGGAGAUCGGAGGCUGAUGGUGGUGUUUGAGCAGUCGGCGGUGACGCCGUUGGUUGCGAGACGGAGGUGUUGGCGGUAUUGAAUGGGAACGGUGAUGGUGAUGGGGGUUUGAUUGGGGUUGCAGCGGCUGAAAGGCGAAGGUGGGAGGCAGAUGGCUGCGUCUGGCCAGCGGCGGCACUGUCGCGAGGCUGGGUUGGAGUUGAGAUAUGGUGAGGCUGAUGAUUCGAUGGGAGAUUAAGGUGUAGUGGCGCUUUUCCAAACGAAGGGGGAUUCGGGAUGAAAGCCGGAGAUUGGGGAUUGAAUUAUAUGCGGGUAGAUAUGGCUUUACUGUAUCUUUGACUGUAGUUGGGGUGUGUGUAUGUGUAUGUGUAUGGGUAUAAGUCGGGGUGUGAGGAUAUGGGUAGCUAUACUAGUGUGUUUUGUUGCCAGCCACAGUUAAUUGUGAGGCUAUGGUUGGGGUUUUCAAUUAGAAGUGAAGUAAGGUGUUAAGAUGGGGAGGUUAUAGAAGGAUGCGGUGGUGAUUGUUGGAGUAGAGAGAAGGUAAGGAAUGGUGUGGUUAAAGUGUUUGAUAAAUUGUUUGAGAGAGAUGUGGUGUUGGAUUGGUGUUGUAGGAUGUGAGUGUAAUUAAGUUGUGGUGAAGAAGGUUAAGGAAAAGAUGUUUAGCCUGUGCUGAAGUUGGGUGGCCAUGAGUUUGGUCGGCAGUGGGUGAUUUCAUUGUUGAUUGGGUUGCUAUGACCAUAGAGGAGAAGAGCAGAGGGGAUGAAUUAUAGCAAAGGAAUUGAAUGAUAUAGAUUAUAUUGGGAAGGUUGUGGGUAAAUUGUGAAUUCUUUAGAUUGCAUCUUAUAUCUAAAAUCUGGAGUUAUCGAUUGAUAGAUGUUUUAUAAUUGGUCAGAUCUAAUUAUACGCAUUGUUCUAAGGAUCCUGCAUUUAGAAAUUCAAUUCAAAUAUUUGAAUACUAAAUUGUGAUUGGAAGUGCAAAUUGUAUUAUUAUUAUUAUAACACGUGCUUAUUAUCGGGACUUAUUUCUGGAUCUCAAUUGUUUUGGUCUUGCGACGGAUGUCAUAGAUUCUAUUUAAACUCCAGAAACAUGUAUUAAAUCCGGAAAUCGAUUUUAGUUCUGGAUUGAGUCUAUUUACAAGUAUAUUAUUUGGACAGGGAUGGUGUGCUAUUGAUUUGAGGAUUUGCUCAAUUUUAAAAUACAAAUUGUCCAAAUUUAUAUUAUUUUAUUAUUUUAUUUGAUUAUAUUUUAAGUUGAUUCAAGAUGUGUUUGAAUUACAAUUGGAUUUGUAAUUCCGAAAGACUUGAUUUAUAUUUGGAAAUGGAUUGUAGCCAGGGGUAUAUUUAUCGUCACUAUGUUAAUUAUUUGUAUAUAAUCAUAUAUAAGAUUAUAUACAUGCUUUAUUAAAUUAUAUUUAUAUAAAUAUUAAGGCAUGUAAAUUAAUUGAUACGUGUUGAUGUGAUUAUGUGUUUAACUGAUUAACACUAUGUGUAUAUAUUAUUUGUAUAAAAUAUAUAUUUAUAUGACGAAGGGUAGUAAUAUAAUUUUUCGAUUCUGCGAAUUGACGACUUUCUGGAUUGCUCUCGACUGAAAUAUUAUAUUGCUUUGAUAUAUAGUCUCUCGAGACGCGUGCAUCAACGAUUGUCGGAAACAAGCAAAUAGCGUGGCAAGGCAAGUCAGAAAUAUUUUGAUAAGGCGAUAUUGUGCCGUAAGAUAGUCCAAUAGAUUAUAGUCAUUUCAGAAUUAGCGAUUGAGGCCAAUCUAGGAAUCUCGAGUAGGUGAUUGUAUGUCACCUGUUUCUGUCAAAUGCAAGUAUUUCUAUUCUUCUCUUAUUUAUUAAGAGCAAGUGAUUUUAUUCCACAACCUUUAAUUAUUGCCAGUGCAAUUAUUAUAUUCUGGACUUCAAUUCAUAGAAUAUCAUAUGCUUGGAAUUUAACUGUUGUUCGAUAUUCCAUAUACCAUACAGAUACUCAAAUAAUGAUUGAAUUCAAUACAUUCCAAUGAUUGAAUUCACUACAUUCUAGUAAUCAUUCUACUAGAAUUCUCGAAUUACUUCUAAGAUAGAUAGUGGAAAACUAUGCUAUCCAGAUAUACUCCAAAC
rnacentral:lncRNA from 1 species